GACAGGAUGGUUCUGUGGUUAGGGCACUAGGCUAGGACUUUAGCAACCUGAGUUCAAUUCCCUGUUCUGCCA
rfam:Chelonia mydas contig189258, whole genome shotgun sequence.